rnacentral:rRNA from 1 species
UACGUAGGGGGCAAGCGUUGUCCGGAUUUAUUGGGCGUAAAGCGCACGCAGGCGGUGCGGUAAGUUUCGAGUGACAGGUGGUGGCUUAACUGCCACAGGCCUUGGAAAACUGCCGCACUUGAGGGCUUGAGAGGGACGCGGAAUUCCAGGUGGAGCGGUGAAAUGCGUAGAGAUGCGGAGGAACACCGAUGGCGAAGGCAGCCCCCUGGGCUAGCACUGACGCUCAGGCACGAAAGCGUGGGGAGCAAACAGG